rnacentral:rRNA from 1 species
GAUGAACGCUGGCGGCGUGCCUAAUACAUGCAAGUCGAGCGAAUGGAUUAAGAGCUUGCUCUUAUGAAGUUAGCGGCGGACGGGUGAGUAACACGUGGGUAACCUGCCCAUAAGACUGGGAUAACUCCGGGAAACCGGGGCUAAUACCGGAUAACAUUUUGAACCGCAUGGUUCGAAAUUGAAAGGCGGCUUCGGCUGUCACUUCUGGAUGGACCCGCGCCGCAUUAGCUAGUUGGUGAGGUAACGGCUCACCAAGGCAACGAUGCGUAGCCGACCUGAGAGGGUGAUCGGCCACACUGGGACUGAGACACGGCCCAGACUCCUACGGGAGGCAGCAGUAGGGAAUCUUCCGUAAUGGACGAAAGUCUGACGGAGCAACGCCGCGUGAGUGAUGAAGGCUUUCGGGUCGUAAAACUCUGUUGUUAGGGAAGAACAAGUGCUAGUUGAAUAAGCUGGCACCUUGACGGUACCUAACCAGAAAGCCACGGCUAACUACGUGCCAGCCGCCGCAGUAA